GGAUUUCCGAUUCCGGGAGUAACGAACGGCCGCGGCGGCGACAGCUCUAGCUUCGGAGCAGCGGUUGCGGAGGAGGAAGAAGAGCAGGGAAAGGCGGGAGUCACAGGCGGGACCCUAGCCAUGGGUCCGCGGACUUAGAGCAGCGCAAGCCACCGGCCCUGUGCCGAGCUGGCUGCUGUUCCUUCCUGUGGCCCCCAUGGCUGAGGACUGGCUGGACUGCCCAGCCCUGGGCCCUGGCUGGAAGCGUCGUGAGGUCUUUCGAAAGUCAGGAGCCACCUGCGGACGCUCAGAUACCUAUUACCAAAGCCCCACAGGAGAUAGGAUCCGAAGCAAAGUUGAGCUGACCCGAUACCUCGGCCCUGCGUGCGACCUCACCCUCUUCGACUUCAAACAAGGCAUCUUGUGCUAUCCAGCUCCCAAGACCAGUUCCUUGGCCAUCCCCAGCAAGAAGCGUAAGAAGGCUUCAAGGCCAGCCAAGUCACGGAAACGUCAGGUUGGAUCCCAGAGGGGUGAGAUCAGGAAGGAGGCCCCAAAGGAUGAAACCAAGGCUGAUGCUGACACAGCCCCAGCUUCACUCCCUGCACCUGGGUGCUGUGAAAAUUGUGGAAUCAGCUUCUCAGGGGAUGGUACCCAAAGGCAGCGGCUCAAGACACUUUGCAAGGACUGCCGAGCACAGCGAAUUGCUUUCAACCGGGAGCAGAGGAUGUUUAAGCGUGUGGGCUGCGGGGAGUGUACAGCCUGCCUGGUAACUGCGGACUGCGGGGCCUGUUCCACCUGCCUUCUGCAGCUGCCCCAUGAUGUGGCCUCGGGGCUGUUCUGCAAGUGUGAGAGGAGACGGUGCCUCCGGAUUGUGGAAAGGAGCCGAGGGUGUGGAGUAUGCCGGGGCUGUCAGACCCGAGAGGACUGUGGCCGUUGCCGAGUCUGCCUUCGCCCUCCACGCCCUGGUCUCAGGCGCCAGUGGAAGUGUAUCCAGCGGCGCUGCCUAAGGGGUAAACGUGGCCACCACAGGGGAGGCUGUGACACCAAGAUGACUGCCAGGCAGCUUCCCCAAACCCAGCCCCCACCUCCGAUUCCUCCAUCGCAGCCUCCAGAGUCACCAGAGCUGCACCCCAGAGCCCUGGCCCCCUCGCCACCUGCCGAGUUCAUCUAUUACUGUGUAGACGAGGACGAGCUACAGCCUUACACGAAUCGCCGACAGAACCGCAAGUGUGGGGCCUGUGCAGCCUGCCUACGGCGGAUGGACUGUGGCCACUGCGACUUCUGCUGUGACAAGCCCAAAUUUGGGGGCAGCAACCAGAAGCGCCAGAAGUGUCGUUGGCGCCAGUGCCUGCAGUUUGCCAUGAAGCGGCUGCUGCCAAGUGUCCAGGCAGGGUCUGAGGAAGGGGCAGGGCCGCCCCCACCUUGCCCUCAUCGAAAGAGGCCUGGCUCUACUCAUCGGCUCCGUCUGGGCCAGACCCUGAAGGCCCCCUUGGCCACACCCACAGUCCUGCCAGACCAUGCUCAGACUCCAGUGAAGCAGGAAACAGACAGUGGCUUUGUGCUGCCCCCACCUGGCACUGACCUUGUGUUUUUACGGGAAGGUGCAAGCAGUCCCGUGCAGGUGCCUGGCCCUGCGCCAGCUUCCACAGAAGCCCUGCUGCAGGCAGUAGACCCAGGCCUGCCACCUGUGAAGCAAGAGCCACCUGACCCUGAGGAGGACAAGGAAGAGAGCAAGGAUGACUCUGCCUCCGAUUCAGCCCCAGAGGAGGAGGCAGGAGGGACUGGCACGCCUGUGAUCACGGAGAUUUUCAGCCUGGGUGGAACCCGCCUCCGGGACACAGCAGUCUGGUUGCCAAGGUCCAAGGACCUUAAAAAACCUGGAGCUAGAAAGCAGUAGACUGGAGGCUUCUGCAGACUAUAGGAUUCAAGGUGAUAUUUACAGACCGGCUUUAUGAGAGAACACUGAUCUACUCAGAGGCUGGACCAUAGAUCCAGAGGCUUAUGUAGGAGUCAAUAGGAACUGGGAAAACCUACCACCAAACCAGACAAGCAGUACUCUGAUCAGAACUUUGAGCUUAUAGAGGAAGUAAGCAGAAAAGGAAGAGAAAGAAUAGAAAUGUGGUGUAUCUGCUCCAACUGGUCCAAUCCCAAGGAGCUUGAAUGUGAUAAGUGUGGACGUUAGGGGUGGUGGAGGGGACGUAAUUAAAGCCCCAACAGAAUAGUCUAAACAAGCCAUCUUCAUAAAUGAUUUUAAAUGGCUUCUGGAUGAGACCUGGCAGUGUGUCUAGUCAUUUUCUCAGGGAGACAGCAAUUGAAAAUGUAAUGUGAAUAAAUGAGGAUCUGCUGUUUAUUGAGUUCCUCCUAUUGACUAUUUAAUCCUCAAAACAGUUUUUAUAGGAGGACAUUGAUUUUGCCCAUUUUCACAGAUGGGAAAACAGACUUAAAGAUAUUAAGUAACUUGUCCACUGUCACACGGCUAGUAUGGACAGAGCUUAGAAUCAAACCCAGAUUGUAAAAACCUUUUCUUUAAUCAGUCACUAAAUUGUAAACUGUAAUCUUGUAUUCAAUAAUGUAUAAUAAUAUAGUAAUAGAAUUUUCCAGUGACCUUGAAAAAAAACAAGGUGGAUUACUCUAAGCAAUUCUUUAUACUGCUGCCUGUAGCAUGGUUUAGGGAGGGCCAAGGAUGGGGAUGGGGUGGAUGGGGUCACCUUGUCAGAACACCUGUGCAUCCAGAGAAUGGGUUCUUCCCAGACCUCUGGCCCUGUGUUAGGAUUCCUCAAAUCCUAAAGAGCAUCCUUCUUUACUGGUUGCUGUCCAUUUUGCUUGUUACCCUCCCUCCUCCUCCUCAGCCAAAGUAGCCUGCAGAAGUAAAGCUGUUAGCCUGCUCAUCUUUGCUGACAACUUGUGUCCUCUGCCCCUUGAUGACCCUUGUGCUUGGUUUCUGCUCUCAGCCCCUGUCUGCUAAGUCUGAGUUCUUGCUUCAGAUCCUCCCAAAGGGCCGGUCGUGGCCCAGCCCUCACAUCCCAGUUCUUCUUAAAGUACUAAAAAGAUUAAGACUUGUGAUUCAUUACUUAGCUAUCUUUAUAGGGCCUGGACUGAGUAGGUGCAUCCUUAAAUCUUGUAGCCUAUGUGCCUCCCUUGCCUUAUGCUAGUCCUAGCUCUGCAGCUUUAGGUAAUUCAUAUGUAGAUUGGCCACUUCCUAACCAUUAGUUCAAUAGAGCCCUCUGCCACUUCCCCUGUCUUUUCUUUCUCCUUGUCCUACCUACUUCAGUUAAAGUCAAGACUGGUUAAUUUUCUCAUAUUGUUUUGCUCCCCCCAGGAUCCAUCUACGCAACCCAAGUAUUCUGUGAUGUCCUAAGUGAAACUGAUUGGCAUUCUGAUCCAUGAUAAGAUCUGGUUCCUAUGUGUAUUAGGGUACAAUCAGAAAAGCAGCACCACUAUAAGAUUAUAUAUAUAUAUAUAUAUAUGUAUGUAUAUGUAUAUGUAUAGAUGUGUGUGUGUGUGUGUGUGUGUGUGUGUGUGUGUAUUAAGGGAUUUGUUAUAGGGAUUUGACUUAAUGAAAUUGUGGGAGCUGGUUAAACAGUCACUGUAAGGCUGUUGUCUUUGCAUCUAAUGCUGGAGCUUGAAGUCUGCAGGGCAGGCAAUCGGGAAGGGAAGAUGGAUAUAAAGUGUGGGAGACCGAGGAUAUGUUGGCGCCCAAGAGCACAAGCUGGAACCCACAAGGAUGGCCUCGAACCCAUGUCAGUCUCUCACCACCUUCAACUUCGAUGAUGUGGGUGUCCUGUAGAAGAAGCUGGUGCCCUUCAUCACAGAGUUAAAUAUGCAUCUGGCCCAGGAAUUAGAGAAGAUCCCGGGGAAGGUGGAGCAGCUGCAGGCCUGGCUGCAGGCCUGACUGCUGCCCCACACCAACGAGGUGAGCCAGCAGAUAAGUGACAACAUGUGUGACCUGCAACAGUGCCUGGUGCCCCUGCACCAAUCUUCCAAGUGUAAAAACAAUGUGCUGCUGCUUCACUUCUGCCCUCCAGUUAUGACGCAGAAUGUCUCUUGUGGCCCAUUCCAGCCGGAAUCAUACGGGGAAGGGAGUUCUGGGAAACGUAGCCUAGUCAAGGGACACAUAACAAAGCCACCCUGCCAUGAAUCAGCUCCCAAGGGUCUCACUACUCACCUGAGGAUAACUUGAUAAAGCUACGUUGCUGAAAAUGCAAAGCUGAAGACCAUGGAUUUCAUGGUGACCCCAGCAAGUACAGAAAUUCUGACAAGCCUACCCAGAAAAAACUUGCUGGUCUCGGCUAUUUUUGUGUCAUUCAUUCAAGUAUUGAGAACCUGGCCCAUGGUAGGCACUGUACUUAAUACUGGGAUACAGGAAUGAAAAGAGGUAGUCCAUGCAAUUUUAUUAAAUUCAUCAAUAUGUAUUACAGAUGGUGAAUGGAUUUCCAACUUUAUCAUGGAAUUUAAUGGUGAAAAUAGAGAACUCAGGAACUAUCGGGAGGACAGCCCUUGUGUGAGCCUUGUUGGGACACAAUAGGAAUUGGAAAUAAUAUAAAUAGUUUUUAUCUCUAAGCUGUUCUAUUUUAAAGUUAUUUUAAAAUGAUUUUUAUCGUCCCAUUACUCAUUCAUAUACUUAGUGUUUCUUUUGGGAGUGCCUUGAUGGUGGUAACAAUGUUGACCGUCUCCGAGAAAGUGAGGAAGUGGGUGGCAAGAUAAAGGUCAGGUUCUGGACAAGGACCUUAGUCGAAAUCACUUCUCUGUCGGGGGGCGGAAAGGGGCGGGGUGGGGAGGGGUGGCCGAAGGCGGGGGUUCACCGCGCUGGCGUCCUGGCAUCGUCCCUCCAAUAUUCCGAGUAGGCCCGCCAGGGGGCGCCGAAACCGCGGUCAUCCAACUGGGCUUGCGAGUCUCUGCACUUCGCCUUUGGCCUGGGCGGCCUGGGGCGUGGCCUCCGCCCGGCGGAGACGUCAGUCCGUGACUGGACGGGAGGAAAGCCUACUUUCUCCUUUGUGUAGUGGUAAAACAGGCAAAAUGGAGCCGCAGUUAAAUUACGGGGCUCGCCAGGGGUGAGGGCGAGGCACGACGAGCUCAGGACCGGCGCUGGGACGUUCGAGGGCAGCCGGGUGUCGCCAGGGGCUACGUAAACUCUUAACAGUAAAUGAAAAUGAGUAUUUUGCCGAACUGCAAUUGAAAGAAGAAGCAUUAUAGGAGAAAAAAACAAAAUGAGAGUUAUUAAAAGAGAUUAUUAAAA